GAGAGAGAGAGAGAGAGAGAGAGAGAGAGAGAUGCGCGAGCGGUAAAGAGCAGCCGGACUCUUUUUUUUUCUUUUAUACAACACAGACAGAUAAAUGCACUAUUGUAGAGAGAGAUAAAUACAUUUAUUACGCUGAAAGACAGACAGACAGAAAUAAAUACGUAAACAGGGGGAGAAGGUGUUAUUGCAAUUGUGUGACUGAGUAGAGAAGUAGAUAGAGAGAAACAGGUGAUGAGAAAGGGAUAGAGGGAGAGACAGAGAGGGAGGGAGACAAGUCGAGAAAGACAGACAAAAGGGAGAGACAAGACGAGAGAGACAACGGGAGAGGUAGGAAGAGAGGGACAAACAGAUUGAGAGACAGUUCGAGAAAGACUGGAGGAGUGAUAGGAAGAGAGAGACAGUCAGAGAGAGAGAGAGACCGGAAGAGAGAGAGACAGUCCGAGAGAGCUAGAGAGACAGUCCGAGAGAGCGAGGGAGACAGUCCGAGAGAUAGACCGGAAGAGAGAGACAGUCCGAGAGAGACCGGAAGAGCGAGACAGUCUGAGAGAGAGAGACAGACACUGGACGAGAGAGACAGUCCGAGAGAGCCGGAAGAGAGAGACAGUCUGAGAGAGACCGGGAGAGAGAGACAGUCCGAGAGAGACCGGAAGAGCGAGACAGUCUGAGAGAGAGAGACAGACACUGGAAUAGAGAGACCGUCAGAGAGGAAGAGAGAAUAUAAAUGAAACUCUGGAUCCGUCCGUUCGUAGUCCAGCGCACUGCGAACCCGUAGAGCCAAGCGUGUCGCCGAAAGACAAACAGAGUGUUGAGAAAGCGGCAACAUACGGUAAAACCCUCCCAGGUCACGCAGCAAAAUCGCUCCCUCCGUCGUCACCCUCCUCCGUUUUCGGGCGUGCCAAAAUGACUGUGUGUGGGCCGGGCAGUAAGACACCCAUCUCUCCAUCAUCCUCCGUAAUGUCCUCUCCCCCGUCCACGUCCAGUCCUCCGCCCAAAGUUCACCGAGCUCGCAAGACCAUGAACAGACCCCCUCUCUCACAGGUAAGAGAUUCCCCAGAUAUUCAGGAAUGGUUUGUUCCAGUAUGAGAUUAAUGGUGUAUCAGAUCCC
ensembl:lncRNA